GGGCUUAAGGGUUGCCCCAGAACAUUGGGCGCUCAUGAAAUACCCAGAAAAAGGGUGUUGGGUCGAUAUAGACAGCAGGACGGGUGGCCAUGGAAGUUGGAAUCCGCCAAGGAGUGUGUAACAACUCACCUGCCGAAUCGACUAGCCCUGAAAAUGGAUAGCGUUUGAGCUCCAGGCCCAUACCUGACCGUCUCAAUUACGCACUUUUUUUUCGGAAAAGGUGUAAUGAACGUUGAGACGGGUAGGAAGGUCGCGACAGUGUUGCUUUGAAGAGUUUUGAGCGUGAGCUCGCUCGGAGCCGCUGUUGGUGCAGAUCUUGGUGGUAGUAGCAAAUAUUCAAGUGAGAACCUUGAAGGCUGAAGUGGAGCAAGGUUCCAUGUGAACAGCAGUUGGACAUGGGUCAGUCGAUCCUAAGAAAACGGCGAAAGCUUGUUCGAAUUUGCGACAUGAAUUGUAAGACUGAAUAAUUAUUUGUGUGUGUGUUGUGGUGGAGGCGAUUGUGUCGUCACCAGUUGUUGUUGUGUGCAGUUGUCGUAUGUUUUCGAAAGGGAAUCCGGUUGAUAUUCCGGAACCGAGUAACGGAGACAAAGAGUAGCGCUUUAAUCUCUCUGUGGGGUUGGCGUUCAACUCAAUCGCGCGGUAACGCAAGCGAACUCGGAAAAUGACCGUCGUGAGUUUCGAAAAGAGUUUUCUUUUCUUUUUAAGGGACGCAUUCCCUGGAACCGGGUUGUCCGGAGAUAGGGAUUCUGGUAUCCAUAAAACGCCGACUUUUUCACGGUGUUCGGAGCGCUCUCGUCGGUACGUGAAAAUCCGAGCGA
rnacentral:ncRNA from 1 species